AUACGUAGGGGGCGAGCGUUGUCCGGAAUGAUUGGGCGUAAAGGGCGCGUAGGCGGCCCGGUAAGUCUGGAGUGAAAGUCCUGUUUUUAAGAUGGGAAUUGCUUUGGAUACUGUCGGGCUUGAGUGCAGGAGAGGUAAGUGGAAUUCCCAGUGUAGCGGUGAAAUGCGUAGAGAUUGGGAGGAACACCAGUGGCGAAGGCGACUUACGGGACUGUAACUGACGCUGAGGCGCGAAAGUGUGGGGAGCAAACAGGAUUAGAUACCCUGGUAGUCCACGCUGUAAACGAUGAUGACUAGGUGUGGGGGGACUGAACCCUUCCGUGCCGCAGUUAACACAAUAAGUCAUCCACCUGGGGAGUACGGCCGCAAGGUUGAAACUCAAAUGAAUUGACGGGG
rnacentral:rRNA from 1 species